UCCAGCGGGUGGGCGCGCGGCGUGCGCAGGGGGCGGUGGGAGGGCCCCGCGCGGCGCCACCAACCUGUGCUUACUGGGCGCCCGCUGUCUAUCGGCUCCUUCGCGACCUCCUCUGCCUGCAGAGCAUCUCCGGCCCGGGGCCUUGGGCGAGUGACCGAGCCUCUCCUGGGUUGUCCCCAGGUUUGUCGGAGAGGGUGGUGACUUCACCUUGCAGGCAGGUGCGAAGCGCCCCGUGAGAUGCCCACUGCAUAGCGAGCGCUCGCGAUCCUUGCUCUUUGUAUCCAUGGCUUUUCCUUAACGGAGACGAGGUGGCAGAGGCCCAGAGAAGUGAACCAACUAUCCAAAGACACACAGCGGUUUAAGAGGCAGAGUCAGGACCAGAAGCAAAGGCGGCUCCAGAACCAUCAACGGCCUCCGCUCCAGCGCCCCCCCAGCCCAGAGGGAUCUGUGAGCAGGCCGGCUCCGCCCCGGAGAGGACCUUCAUCUCCCCCUCUUCUAGGCCCUGGCUGCCUUCAGGCUGCUGGACCCCAGCUGUCUGUCUGUCUCCACAGCAACUUGAUCGGCCAUGGCCCACCUUCGGGGGCCCCGGACCCCCGUGCACAGGCAGCAGCCUCCCCAGGCUGACAGCCAGGCUCGGUGUCCGUGUUUUGGUCUUAGCUAUCCCGGCGUCCAUGCUGCCUGCAACUCUUUCUGGUUUCAUAACCAGCGUGGCCACAGAGAAAAGAGAAAAGUAACUGUGGCUUGGCCAGGAAAUGUCAACUGCCUGUGAUAGAGGCAUCAGGGAGAUUCUGAGUGCUCCUGGGUGCUGGAUGGGUGUGAGCACCAGUGAGGGGAAAUAAAACAAAGCAGGGGCGUGA